CCUCCAAAGAAUCCCACGCUAAUCCCAAAUCUCCCUCAUCACUAUUCGCGCGUCGUCUUUGUGGUCGACUUGUUGAACUGGAACACUAUCGACAAGUUAUACGAGUUCUUCUUCAACCAGAACAACAAAUCCUCAUAGAAGUUUGCAGAGGUUGAUUUUAGCCAUUGGCGAGUUUGACUUCUAACAUAUUCAGACUUCACGUUCUACCUAUUUAAUUGGCAUUUGCAAAGGUUUACAGGGGGUGGCGCUGUGGUCAAUCAAGCCAGACAGGGGAAAGACAUUGAGGAUCGAUUGCUUUCUCCAGCCCAUAAGCUUUGAACGACAACAUAUAUCAUCAGGAAGAGAGACUGAAUAUUAGGUUUUGAAGUUUUUGAUGGAAAGAAAUAGUAUAAAUGCUCUACAUGGCUAGGUCACAAUUGGGACCCUUAUUCUCUAGGAUUGUGCUGUGGGUUUUCUGUUUGCAUUGCUUCCCGUUCUAAGUGGUACUUCUGGUGUUCUUCAAGGAGUAAUAUCCAUGACUAAGUCAUAAGUUGGUUCUGUUGAUUUCAUUUUUGGCCAUUUUGUCAAUACUAUCUCGUACGUGUGUACCUUGGUUCCUUAAGCUGAUGAUAAGUCUAUCAUCGCAGACAAAUGAACUUUAUCAGCUGGCUUCAGUUGCGUUUUGUUUACUUGUUGCUUGGAACAACGAGCUCUAAGAAUUGAGAGGAGACAAAUCCAGAGGCGGAAGAGGCAAAGGAACGACCUCCCGAGCUCCCAGUCAACUGGAUGAUUCAGGUCAGUGGUCUUGUGACCAUUGCACAUAUGCCAAUGUUAAGUUUGCAAACACUUGCCAAAUGUAGAGCAAAGUUAGAGCUCUUCAGGAUGUGGAAUCAACCUUUCAUGAGCUAUUUAUCAUUUUCAACAAACUAGCUGUCGUGGUUAUGUAGCGGAAGGCACAAUUCCAAAUAUGUGGAUGGAGGCAUUGGAUCAAAUUUUGUGUUAAUUGUAUUAUGCAUUAGAUCAAAGUUUUUGUUAAUUGUAUUCUUUAUAUGAAUGAAUUUGGAAAUUGUAAAAUAUUUUUAACAUUGACA